CACAGACACAUGGGGGCACAGUGUCCCCAUGUCUCCCAGUGUCCCCAUGUCUCCCAGCCAGUGUCCCUGGUGUCUCAGUUCCCCCUAGUCUCCCAGUGCCCAGAGUCUGCCAGUGUCUCACUGUCCCCAUGUCUCCUAGUGCCUCCAUGUCUCCCAGUGCCUCAAUGUCCCCAUGUCUCCAAGCUAGUGUCCCUAGUGAAUGUGGCCCUGGUGUCUCCUUGUCCCCAUGUCUCCCAGUGCCCCCAUGUCCCCCAGCCAGUGUCUCUAGUGUCUGUGUCCCUGGUGUCUGCAGGGCCGGAUUAACAUAGGGGCUGAUGGAGCUGCAGCUCUAGGCCCAGGCCCAUGGAAUAG